GCCCUCGUAGCUCAGUAGGAUAGAGCACAGGUUUCCUAAACCUGGGGUCACAUGUUCGAAUCAUGUCGGGGGCGCCA
rnacentral:tRNA from 1 species